rnacentral:lncRNA from 1 species
ACCCUUCAAGACAUAUUUCAAGCAACUUUCUUACAAUGGCAUACUUGCCUUUCUGGGACAUGCCCAAAGCAUCUCAACCAAUUCUCUAUUGGCUAAAUGAUACUAAAUCUUCAACUACAUUUCUAAACAUUUGGCAAAUGUUCAAGUGGAACAUCAAUCUCAACUUAAAUGACACUAAAUCUUCAACUACAUUUGUAAACAUAUGGUAAAUAUUCAAGUGGUAGAUCAAACUCAACUCGUCAUAUUGUUAAGUAGAAAUUUCCGCAAGU